UAUGUGACAUACAAUUUCAAAAUGACAUACUUAUACAUACAUAAAAAAUGAAUGCAUAGUGUGAUUGCUGUCGCCGGUGAGCUUUCGCAAUCAUUGAUUGCUCUUGUUUCCUCUCCUGUAACAUUUGGAGCUCAACUAAUGGUAUAAGAUCUUGUGUGUAUGUUUGGGAAAAAUUACUUUGUUGAAUGGAGGAGGAAUAUAGCAGAACUGGACUGUGCCUAACACAUGUGUACGUAGGUAAAACUGAAAUUAGUAAGGUAAAGCUGAAAUUAGUAAGGUAAAGCUGAAAUUGGUAAGGUAAAGCUGAAAUGGUAUCAGGUUUGAAGUUAGGUAAAGCUGAAAUGGUCUCCGUUUCUAGUUAGGUAAAGCUGAAAUGAUCUCCGGUUUCUAGUUAGGUAAAGCUGAAAUGGUCUCCUGUUUCUAGUUAGGUAAAGCUGAAAUGGUCUCCGUUUCUAGUUAGGUAAAGCUGAAAUGAUCUCCGGUUUCUAGUUAGGUAAAGCUGAAAUGAUCUCCGGUUUCUAGUUAGGUAAAGCUGAAAUGAUCUCCGGUUUCUAGUUAGGUAAAGCUGAAAUGAUCUCCGGUUUCUAGUUAGGUAAAGCUGAAAUGAUCUCCGGUUUCUAGUUAGGUAAAGCUGAAAUGGUCUCCAGUUUGAGUCCAGGUCUGGUCACCUGUUACAUAAUUCCAGUUGUGUUUUACUAUAUUUGUUAUGAAAGUACAGACCAGAGUUUCCAGACACAGGGACCAGGAAAAUUGGUUUCAGUCUUUUGUCCUCCUCAGGUGUUAUAACAUCGUUAGAAAUGUUAGAGAUUACAUCAACAUAUCAUGAAAUGACAUAUUUUAUGUCUGUAUAAAAAUACAUAAAGACUGUAACAAAUUCUCAGGUCCCUGUGCUUCCAAAUGAUCACAUCACUUUAGGCCUAGAAGUAAACAACUUCAGUGUUAAAUACCUUACCUAGCUAGCACGCAGGUUAGUGAUCUAUGUUUCUUACCAGUAAAAUAAUUUAGCCCAGAAAAAAACUUUGGUAUUAACUUUUAUGUAUGAGAAGGGCUCUGAAGUGAGUAUAUCAAUUAAAUGUGAAAUGAUUUGAUAUAAAUUGUACCAUGUACUAUAGGAAGAUCAACUGAUAUUAUAAUUGUUUGAUUUGUUGGUGUUACCCAUGUAUGACAUAUGACAACCAAUAAACUAUCGAAAGAUUUACAUCACGAAGAAAA